ACUCAUGAAUGACUGGAACUCUAAUCCUUUCCUGGAUAAAGGACCCUUUUGAAACCCAACUUGGGCUUUGGUUAAAAUUCUUCCUGCCUCAUUUCAGCUUGCAAAGUCCCACUGAGCUCUGCCUCAAGAAUUCUGGACUAGAUCUGAGGGCAUGGGAAAAACAGUGGUGGCCAGCCCUGCAGCUGGAAGAUCUGAGCUGUCUGGUCUGAGAGGCUGAUGGCCAUGGAGAUAAGAUUCUAGCCUUUUAGGGCAAACAGGGGCUCCUUGGUGGAGGAUGUAACAAGAGCCUCUGCUAUCCUCUCCAGUCUGGAAAGCGGUCAGUUUCCAUACUCCAGCUGAAUGGAGCAAUGGAAAGAUGCCCAUGUUCUAUUUUGUGGAACUUGAGAAUAUGGAAUCUUCAAAUCGGACUUCACAAGUGAUAUGGUCUUUUGGGAAGAGAGAACCUUAAUUGAGAAAAUGCCCUCACUCAUGAGAUGGGCUUGUGGUCCUGCCUGUUGGGCACUCUUUUGAUUAAUGGCUCAAUUGGGAAGGCCAAGCUCACUGUGGUGGUGCUGUGGCAGGUGACUCUGGGGUACAAAAGAAGCAGACUGCACAGCCACGAGGAAUAAGACAACAACAGCAUCCUCCAUGGCUUCCGUUCCUGCCCUGACUUCUGAUGACAGACUGUGAUGUGGAAGUGUAAGCUGAAUAAACCUAAGUUGGUUUUGGUCUUGUUUUAUCACA